AUGAUGUUUCUAACAACUCUGAUUGUUACGUUGGGUUUUCUGAGUCAGGGGUCUGCUGCCAAUAAUUUUCUGACUCAAGCUGAUAAAUCCAAGUCUGUCAGUGUUGGAGGGACGGUGACCAUCAGCGCCACAGGGAGUUCAAAUAUUGGUCCUGAUCUCAGUUGGUACCUUCAGAAACCUGGACAGCCUCCCAAACCUCUGAUAUAUAAAGCAUCAAGUUUAUUCUCAGGAACACCGUCCAGAUUCAGAGGCAGUAAAUCUGGUUCUGACUACACUUUAACUAUCAGUGGCUUUACAGCUGAAGAUGCUGGAGAUUAUUACUGUCUGGGCCUCCAUAGUGGUGGAUUUGUAUCACUGUGGUGGACUUUUGGUGGAGGAACCAAACUCAUCGCUGACGUGGGUGUGGUGCGGCCCACCCUGACUGUCCUCCCCACCUCCACAGAGCAGGAGCAGCAGACCAGUGUCACACUGGUGUGUCUGGCCAGCGGGGGCUCGCCCUCCACCUGGACUCUGGGCUGGAAGGUGGGGGGCAGCAGCAGGUCUUCAGGGGUGUCCAACAGCCUGGAGGUGGUGGGGGAGGACGGCCUCUGCAGCUGGAGCAGCACCCUGACCCUCCCUGCAGACCAGUGGAGGAAGGCGGGCUCAGUGAGCUGUGAGGCCAGUCUGAGUGGACAGAGCCCCGUCACUCAAACCCUGGACCCUGACGGCUGCUCAGAGUAGAGCUUCAGCAGCACAGCAGCUUCAACAGCUGCUGAUGUUUCUGCUAAAUGAUGCAUCUGCUUUUACUGCGAUAAAUAUGUAUUUUACUCAC